rnacentral:rRNA from 1 species
GAUCUCAAAUCAGGUAGGACUACCCGCUGAACUUAAGCAUAUCAAUAAGCGGAGGAAAAGAAACUAACAAGGAUUCCCCUAGUAACUGCGAGUGAAGCGGGAAGAGCUCAAAUUUAAAAUCUGGCGUGCCUCUGGUCGUCCGAGUUGUAGUCUGGAGAAGCGUUUUCUGCGUUGGACCGUGUAUAAGUCUCUUGGAACAGGGCGUCAUAGAGGGUGAGAAUCCCGUCUUUGACACGGACUACCGAUGCUUUGUGAUACGUUCUCAAAGAGUCGAGUUGUUUGGGAAUGCAGCUCAAAAUGGGUGGUAAAUUCCAUCUAAAGCUAAAUAUAGGCGAGAGACCGAUAGCGAACAAGUACCGUGAGGGAAAGAUGAAAAGCACUUUGGAAAGAGAGUUAAACAGUACGUGAAAUUGCUGAAAGGGAAACGCUUGAAGUCAGUCAUGUCUGCCAGGACUCAGCCUUGCUUCUGCUCGGUGUACUUUCUGGUUGGAUGGGCCAACAUCGAUUUUGACCGUUGGAGAAAGGCUUUGGGAAUGUGGCACCUUCGGGUGUGUUAUAGCCCUUUGUUGUAUACAACGGUUGGGAUCGAGGACUGCAGCAUGCCUUCAUGGCCGGGGUUCGCCCACGUAC